rnacentral:rRNA from 1 species
UACGAACCGUACAAACGUUAUUCGGAAUCACUGGGCUUAAAGGGCGCGUAGGCGGCCUGGCAAGUGGAAGGUGAAAUCCCUCGGCUUAACCGAGGAACUGCCUCCCAAACUGCUUGGCUUGAGACCAGGAGAGGUGAGUGGAAUUCCCAGUGUAGCGGUGAAAUGCGUAGAUAUUGGGAGGAACACCAGUGGCGAAGGCGGCUCACUGGACUGGUACUGACGCUGAGGCGCGAAAGCGUGGGGAGCAAACGGG